ACAGAGCCCAUGCCUUUGCCUCCUCUGGCCAACUCUAAUCAUAAAUCUCCUGUGAAUCAGCUGGGAAACAUGCAGAAUAUGAGAUUGAGGCCCUCAUUCAUACUAACUGAAAUUUUCCUUGGCAAUGGUAGAACAGAAGCUUCUCCAUUCUAUAGAGAUGAACUUGCCUUAGGUAAGAUCUUCUCAGAGUACAAAGGAAAUUUAUUCUGGAAAUUUCAAACAAAUAUGGCCUCCUCACUGGAACCGGAACUGGAUCCACCAUCCCUUUUUCUCAGUGUCUUAUUGUUUAUGUUUUAGAUCUUUCACAAGGUGAGCUACAUCUCUGAGAGGAGCUCCUGGAAAUUACCAGCAAUACUUAGUAUUGCCAACUCUACAGAUGAAGAUGAUGCACCUUGAUGAGGAAUGAGUACUGAGCCCAAAUCCUACAAAUGUGAUCAUACCAAAGACUUAUGAAUUAGAUAUCAAAUUAUAAAAUACAAGUGUAGUUGAUACCUGUUUAGAUGAUGUAGGGCAAAGUAAUGGAGUAUGUAUUAAAAGCAAAAAUUCCCAUGAAGCAGAACUGUUACCCUCUUCCAAAACCUCCCACUCUCAAGUUUUAAGAGGCCAUAAACCUAAAUGUACAUU